AAGAACACUGGAGUGGGUAGCCUAUCCCUUCUCCAGUGGAUCUUCCUGAACCAGGAAUCGAACUGGGGCUUCCUGCAUUGCAGGCGGAUUCUUUACCAACUGAGCUAUCAGGGAAGCCCCCGCUUCUCACGAGAGACAGGCUGUUUUCCUUUGGCUGCUAAGGAUGAUAUAAUGAUCCACACUGUGAGCAGAAGAGGCCAAUUUCCAGAGAGCGAGGCUGGUUUUUGGCAGUGCUGAUGCCCUGAUCAGAAUGAGAUGAUGCCGUGAAUUCCCAUCCUGAUGAAGGAAAUUAAAAAAUCCAAUUUGAAACCAGCUUUGACUAGACUUUGCUGCAAAAUGAAAAAAUGAUAUGAGCUGAAUAAUUCAAGGCUUUAUUUAGAGCCACAGACUCUGUGUGGGACAUUGCCUCUCCGCUGGCAAGAGCCUGGCCUAGGAAUUCAGCUGCUUCAUCCUCGCUGCGUUCUAGCCUCCACCUGCCACCCCAGAAAACUGCCAGCACCUGCAGAUCCCCGAGAACUCACCUUCUGGAGCCAAAACUCCUCUCCCCACAGCCUUACUUUUGGUUCAUCAAAAACAGAACACUAGAGAAGAUUCUCAAUACUAUUCAUAAUGGAAUAAAACUUGAUUCUUUUCUAUUGGGAAAAAAGAAAAGGUUAUCCAACUCCGGUGAGGUUGUCAGAGAAGCACAGGAGGGAAUUUCUGUGCAGAGGUUACAUCUUUGCAUUUGACUUCCCUUAUAGCUUAGUCAGUAAACAAUCUGCCUGCAAUGCAGGAGACCAGGGUUCUAUCUCUGGGUCGGGAAGAUUUCCUAGAGAAGGAAAUGGCAACCCACUCCAGCAUUCUUGCCUGGAGAAUCCCAUAGACAGAGGAGUCUGGCAGGCCACAGUCCAUGGAGUUGCAAGAGCUGGAUACGACUUAGCAACUAAACCACCACCACCAUCCAUCGUGGAGUUCCCUCCGGGCUCUCCCAUUCAGUCACCUGGCCCUGCCCUAUAUACACAGAACCUCUUGUGCUCCAGGGCCGGUGGUGCUAGUCACACAAGCCUCUCUCCAGCUGACCUGGAAUCCUGGUGGCUAGUCAGCUACAUCCUUCUCCCAAUAAUUGAUCUAAUGCAGAAGUAGAAAUUGGCUUCCCAGGUGGCGCUAGCAGUAAAGACCCCACCUGCCAAAGCAGGAGACAUAAGAGAUGCAGGUUCGAUCCCUAGGUUAGGAAGACCCCCUGGAGCAGGGCAUGGCAACCCACUCCAGUAUUCUUGCCUGGAGAAUCCCAUGGACUGAGGAGCCUGGCAUCCACUGGACUCAACUGAAGCGACUUAGCACAGCGCAGUCCUGGAUCUUCGUCGCUGCAUAACAGAUCACUUACUGUCAAUAAACUUGCCACGUGUGGACUGCAGCUGUGUUGAAGAGUAAACGCUGGGACCAGAUAAAGCUACAUGAUAUGGAAGAUAAAUAAGCUGAAAGACCCUUAAACUCAGUGGCAGAUGGCGAGUACAGGCGGGUCCCAGAAGUUCAUGAUUUAUGAGAAGCUGCAUCGCAUAUUGCCUCUCCGGAGAAGAAAACUCCUUUCUCCCAAGCAGCAUACCUCUUCAUCAUGGGGAAACAGAGGAGAAAGUUUUGCUGUGGCUAUUGCUGUUUUUAUCCUUAAUUUUUCUGACUUCCAAACCAUCCAAAAUGAACAAGGAAUUGUCGCGGACUGCAUACAAUGAACUAUGGUUGGGUGGUGGCCAUGAGUUUGAGCAAACUCUGGGAAAUAGUGAAGGCUAGGGAAGCCUGGUAUGUGGCAGUUCACGGGGUUGCAAAGACUUCAUGACUUAGCGACUGAAGAACAACAUGGAAAAAAGAGAAUAUUUCAGUCCUUUAAUAAAAUCUUCAACAACUCCGGCAGUUGAUUCAGGUCACUGGAUUCUCAUCAAAUUCUAAGCAGGACAGAGUUUGUCAGAGAAUUUGCUCCCCAGUGGUAUCUCAUGCAGCCAAGAGGAUGAGUGUGGGAAGUCAGAAAGCCUGGCUCCAAUCCCACUUCUGCUUGUUACUAAGCUGUGUGACUUCGCCCAAUUUACUACAUCUUCUAAUAUUUCACUUUACUCAUCUCUAAAAGCGGAGACACUAGUAACUAUCUCAUUGUGCUGUGCUUAAUCACUCAGUCGUGUCCGACUCUUUGGGACCCCAUGAAACUGUAGCCCGCUGGGCUCCUCUGUCCAUGGGUUUCUCCAGGCAAGAAUACUGGAAUGGGUCGCUGUGCCCUCUUCCUUGGGAUCUUCCCAACCCAGGGAUUGAACCCAGGUCUCCUGCACUGCAGGUGGAUUCUUUACCAUCUGCACCACCAGGCAAGCCCAACUACCUCAUUGGGUUGUUGUAAAAAUUGAAUUCAAAUGAAAUGAUACAAGAUAAUGCUCCAGUAAUAUACCAAACCAUCCACUAGAUGGC
ensembl:lncRNA